UACGGGGGGGGUAAGCGUUGUUCGGAAUUACUGGGCGUAAAGGGCUCGUAGGCGGCCAACUAAGUCAUACGUGAAAUCCCUCAGCUUAACUGGGGAACUGCGUGUGAUACUGGAUGGCUUGGAUUUGGGAGAGGGAUGCGGAAUUCCAGGUGUAGCGGUGAAAUGCGUAGAUAUCUGGAGGAACACCGGUGGCGAAGGCGACAUCCUGGACCGGCAUUGACGCUGAGGCGCGAAAGCCAGGGGA
rnacentral:rRNA from 1 species